rnacentral:sRNA from 1 species
AAUUUGCGUUAGGGAUUGAAGCGGCAUCUUUUCUAUUUUUGCUCAUGUUUGCCAAAAUGAAAAUAGGGUUUAGAAAUAGAAAAAAUAUAGCGUAAAGCCCGACCGUUA